GAUGAACGCUCGCUACAGGCUUAACACAUGCAAGUCGCGGGGCAGCAUGGGGGUUGCUUGCAAUCCCCGAUGGCGACCGGCGCACGGGUGAGUAACGCGUAUCCAACCUGCCCUUCACCACGGGAUAACCCGGCGAAAGUCGGACUAAUACCGUAUGUUGUCCAUUGACGGCAUCCGAUUUGGACGAAAGGUUUGGCGGUGAAGGAUGGGGAUGCGUCCGAUUAGCUGGACGGCGGGGUGACGGCCCACCGUGGCGACGAUCGGUAGGGGUUCUGAGAGGAAGGUCCCCCACACUGGAACUGAGACACGGUCCAGACUCCUACGGGAGGCAGCAGUGAGGAAUAUUGGUCAAUGGGCGUAAGCCUGAACCAGCCAAGUAGCGUGCAGGAUGACGGCCCUAUGGGUCGUAAACUGCUUUUAUGCGGGGAUAAAGUGGCCCACGUGUGGGUUUUUGCAGGUACCGCAUGAAUAAGGACCGGCUAAUUCCGUG
rnacentral:rRNA from 1 species